rnacentral:rRNA from 1 species
CUACGGGGCGCUGCAGUGAGGAAUAUUGCACAAUGGGGGGAACCCUGAUGCAGCAACGCCGCGUGGAGGAUGACGCAUUUCGGUGUGUAAACUCCUUUUAUAUGUCAAGAAAAUGACGGUAGCAUAUGAAUAAGCACCGGCUAACUCCGUGCCAGCAGCCGCGGUAAUACGGAGGGUGCAAGCGUUACUCGGAAUCACUGGGCGUAAAGGACGCGUAGGCGGGUUGGAAAGUCAGGUGUGAAAUCCUACAGCUUAACUGUAGAACUGCACUUGAAACUUCUAAUCUAGAGUAUGGGAGGGGGAGAUGGAAUUAAUGGUGUAGGGGUAAAAUCCGUAGAUAUCACUAGGAAUACCUAAAGCGAAGGCGAUCUCCUGGAACAUUACUGACGCUAAGGCGUGAAAGCGUGGGGAGCAAACAGGAUUAGAUACUCCCGUAGUC